rnacentral:rRNA from 1 species
AUUGAACGCUGGCGGCAGGCCUAACACAUGCAAGUCGAACGAGUGGCGGACGGGUGAGUAAUGUUUGGGAAUCUGGCUUAUGGAGGGGGAUAACUACGGGAAACUGUAGCUAAUACCGCGUACCAUAGGAUGAGCCCAAGUGGGAUUGGGUAGUUGGUGGGGUAAAGGCUCGCCAAGCCGACGAUCUCUAGCUGGUCUGAGAGGAUGACCAGCCCAACUGGGCCUGGGACACGGCCCAGACUCCUACGGGGGGCAGCAGGGGGGAAUCUUCCGCAAUGGAGGAAAGUUGACGGAACAACGCGGGGGGAGUGAUGACGGCCUUCGGGUUGGAAAACUCUGUUAAUCGGGAGACGGUACCGGAAUAGAAAGCCACGGCUAACUACGUGCCAGCCGCCGCGGUAAUAC